CCAGGUGAUUGAUGACACUGUUUGUUGGCAGCUAAGGUGAUUAAAUAGUUCAUGAGGAAAUUGGAAAAAUAGGAGAGAAUUGCUGACAGUUCGUAGGAGGUGAGAUCAAUGAAUAUACUUCCUAGUUCUGGCAGUCCAGUGGAUUGAUAUUAUUACAAUUGCUGAGAACUCACUAAUUAAAAACUCGUGACACACCUUUGACGUUGCAUCGGAGCAUAGCCUGUGAAUCGAAGUUGAACACAACCCUGACGUUUACGAAUACUAGUGAUGACAUGUAAUUGUAAUUAUUCCUUUAUUCAGGUAAUUGCAUUCUUGGUCUCGAAAUGGAAAACACUCAGAGGAUCAGAGGCUACAGUCUCCAGACAUUUGCGAUUGUUGGGGCUGGACAAUGGAACUAAG
rnacentral:misc_RNA from 1 species